CCUGUGGAUGGAAAUGCCGGUCUGAGACAGCCCGGCUCCCGCUGCUGACCUGGGAGGGGCAGGCUGACCCGCGGAAGCCCCGAGUGGGCAGGGUGAGGCAGCCGGAAGCUUCUGGAGCCCAGGAGGUCCGGCACACCCUGCGGGACAGGACUUGUCUCCCCACCUUCUGAGCCGCCAAGGAACCCAGCCAGGGUGGGACAGGCGACGGGGACGCGGGUGACACCCACCUUCAUUUCAGCCUCCAGCUGGAGGAGGUCGAGCGGGAACUGCCCUGUAGGAGAGAUGGGGCGCCAAGGGGUGCAGCAGCAGGACCGGACAGUAAGGCUGGUUCACACCCCUGGCCUCACUGGUGGGGACACAGGAAGACGCGCGUCACCUCGUGACGGGAGUUCCAGGACGCGUCUGGCGGCUCAGACGGUUCCCCGUGACGCCCGCCUGCCUCCGGCGGCCACAGGCGAGGGCCCGUGUGGUGAAGACAGGGUCCCCGUGUUGCUGCCAGGGCCCCAGGGCCCCAGGGCCAGGUCGGGAACCCCGUCUCCUGCCUGAGCUGUGCUUUGUGAGCUGGUGGCGUCACUUCCUGAGAGCCGGCCACACCCCCACGAGGACGGAUCUGUGUCGUCCUUCUCCUGUCGGUUGCUGCUCUUUAGGUCUUGAAGCUACGUUGUUAGAGGCACAGGAUUUGGAAUUGCUGUAUUUUUCUGGUGGGUUUACUCCUUUUUCAUAAUGGACUUCUUUUUUUCGAGUUUCUGGCAAUGUUUCCUGCCUCAAGGUACACUCGUCUGGUUUCUCACACACAAACAGAUAUUUGUACACACACACACACACACAGGUGCAUUCACAGACGCAUGUAGACACACACUCAUGCAAAGGUGCACAUUCACACACAGGUGCACAUGUGCACACACACAGGCUUGGUUUGCCUGCCCCUGUCCCGCAUUCAGCUUGUGUGGGUGUCUGUCCUCACAUUUGCAGUGUCCCUCGUAAGCAGCAUAUGGUUUUGUUUUUAUCCAACUGCCGACGUUUACCUUUAACGGAGUAUUCAGUGGGUUCCCAUUCAGUGUGCUUACGGACAGAUGUCAGUUGGAACCAACUAUGUUAAAUGUGCCUGGUUCCAUCUGCUCUGUGCUCCCUUUUCUCUCCUUUCGUGUCGUCUUCAGGGUCCGGUAAUUUUGGUGUCAUCCUCGCCGGGCAUGCUUAGUUGCGUGGUCCUGGCCCGUCGUCGGCUCCACCCCCGGAAGCGGCGAGGUAUGUCCCCGCUUUGACCACGCUGAACGAGGGCCGCGGUUCGCUCCUGGGGGUCUCCCCUCCAGCGUCGCCUCCUUCUCGAAGGGCCCUUGCCAUCUGUCCCGUCCCAUCAGGGCGGGUCCUCCGAUGGCCUCGCUUGGAAGGGGGUUUCUGCUGACGCACACAGGCCAUCUUUACGUUGUCCUGAGGCCUCUUCUCUGGCGUCUGUCUUCCGUGCGGAGGAGUGAGGUCCUGUUGGUCGGUGGAGCGAAGGGCUCCUUCGGCCUCAGAAAACCCUUCGCCGUGACGCCUCCCGCAGUGGAAGAAUCUGGCAGGGUCGUCCCACCGUCCGUGGGAAGGAACCCGCGAGGUGCUAAGACUUCAGCCCCGGGGCGAUCGGGCCAAGAGAGGACUCCACGCAGCCGCGGGAGGGGAGGGGCCGUCCCCCCACACGCUGGGUGCCGGGGGCCCAGCUCCGCCCUUCAGCCCCGCUGUCCUUGAAGCCCUGGGCCCUGAGGCUUUGGGCCAACUAGGGAUCAAACCGCCACAGGUGCCGUUGGGCCCCAUACGCCUGGAAGGGGUGUCCUUCCUCCAGGAGGGCACGGGUAACCACAGAGGACAGUGCCGGGGACCCACCCCAGCCCAGGGCCGCCUGGAGCACACUCACCGGGUGGUCCUGGUGGGCCCACUUCUCCUUUGUCACCCUUCGGUCCAGGAGGCCCCUGGUACCCUGGAGGGACAGAGACCCAGGAGUGCCCAUCAUCGAGCUGUGACAGGGCCCUUGGGCCAUGCCCCUGUGCCCUGCUCACCCCCAGCCCUUGUGAGUGCUGCGUGCACUAGCCCGGACGGGGGAGGAGCACCACACGAGUUUGGGAGCCUUCAGAGCAAGAGCUUUUGUUGAGCAGAAGCACUCGGGGGUCCCACCCAAGGGGCUGCCCCUGGAGGCCACACCACUCCCGCGGGGCGGGCGCGGGCUGACAGAGCAGGCCCGGGCAGGGGGCAGAUCUAAAUUCCGCACGCAAGUGGGUGUCUACUCAGUGUCCGGGGCUGUCCCCCAACGAGGCUGCCAGGACGGCUGUGCUGGGAUGACCCGGGAGGCCCCGCGAGGGGCCCGUGAUCACUCUGGAGCAGGGGACAUGGGCUGAUGAGGCAUUCCUGCUUCCCCUGGAGCCCAGGCUCACAGGACGAAGUCCUGCGGCAUCCAGCAUCCCCAAGAGAAGCCACCGCCCCAGCCACCGCGAAGCCCCAGGGGCCCUCACCUGGCAAUCCUGGAGGUCCAGGGCGGCCAGACUCCAUGAAGGCCUGCAAAGAAGCUGGCCGGACCACACGGCUCAAGGUUCAGGCUCCCAGAUGCAGAGAGCCCUCACUUCCCCAGGUGGGGUUUGUUUUCUAAUGGAGUACUGGCCAGCCCCCUGCCAGAAAUUGGGGUGUCCCCUCCCUGGGAGAGGCUGACCCCUCCAGGGGGUGGCUGGUGGAUAGGGCCUGUGAGGAGGGGAGUGGGGGUACUUACGUUGCUGUCAUAGACGGGAGUCCCGGGAGGGCCUGGGGGUCCUGGAGGCCCCGGGGGACCAGGUGGGCCCUGCAUGGGGAGGACAGAACACGAGGUCAGUCACGUUCACAGCCAGGCCGUGGAUGUGACCAGGGCAGCAGAUGUGAGGGGGAAUAUUUCACUAAAUACGUCACUAAAAUCAGAAAACUGAACGUGUGUGACAGCAUAUAAUCAGGAAGCAUCCAGUUUGGUUGUGGCUGUGGGGCCCCCAAGCACAGCUGCCCCUUUCAGAACGUGCCUGGGGGACGUGGAGAGGGCGACAGGACUGGCGGGGAGCACGGAGACUAACGCAGAGUCUGGGAGCUCAUCUGUGUAUUUCCACGUUCAAGGCAGAGCCCCAGGAGGCCCAGAGGCCAGCAGGCUGAGCCCAUGUGUGAACUUUCAUUUACUUAUUCACAGAAAGAGAAGAGACAGCCACCCAGGCGGGGUGCAAAGCACUCAUUCUGGCAGUGACCUGCUUACUGGACAAAGCACCAGCCUGUGUAACUCACGCUGCGUCAGGAGUGAGACCAGGGCCAGUGAGGUCGUGCAAACCUCAGGACCCGGCCCCGCCUGCCCUGCGGUCGCCUCCUUGCAGUGCCCCACUGAGGCCAAGGACAGAGGGACUGGAGGCAGCACAGAGGUGGGGUGUCGGGCCCCCAGAGGAGCCGCUGGAGGCGGAGCCCUGUCCCAGCAGACUCCGCGGGGCACACAUGUGCCCUUAGGUCAGAACUGACUCGCCGUCCGCCCUUAGGUCAGAAGUGCGGAAAGGAUCCCGGCGCCUGUCUUGCUUGUCGAGGCCCGCGACCCGUCUUUGUGUCACUACUUCAGAUCGCCGCAAGAUGUCACCUCCUGCCUCUUGAUUUUUCACGAGGCAGCAGCCACAUUUAGGCCACGGGAGGAAGGAGCCACGAUGAAGAACCAGCAGUGAUGGCAAAAGCAGAAAAGUGGGGACCGUCUGACACGCUGGCCUCGGGACCCCACGCCCCGGCCCAGGCCGUGGGAGCAAAGUCACCGAGUGUACCUGGCAGCUGGCUGGGUGCCCAGCCGCAGGAUCGGGAACAGGUCCCGUGCCUGGAGGCCCCCUCUUAGGGAGAAACGGAUAAAAACACCCAGGCUACCAACAAAAACCCUGCUCAGAAGCCGGUGAGGCACUGAGA